AGAGUUUGAUCAUGGCUCAGGAUGAACGCUGGCGGCGUGCCUAAUACAUGCAAGUCGAGCGAACUGAUUAGAAGCUUGCUUCUAUGACGUUAGCGGCGGACGGGUGAGUAACACGUGGGCAACCUGCCUGUAAGACUGGGAUAACUUCGGGAAACCGAAGCUAAUACCGGAUAGGAUCUUCUCCUUCAUGGGAGAUGAUUGAAAGAUGGUUUCGGCUAUCACUUACAGAUGGGCCCGCGGUGUAUUAGCUAGUUGGUGAGGUAACGGCUCACCAAGGCAACGAUGCAUAGCCGACCUGAGAGGGUGAUCGGCCACACUGGGACUGAGACACGGCCCAGACUCCUACGGGAGGCAGCAGUAGGGAAUCUUCCGCAAUGGACGAAAGUCUGACGGAGCAACGCCGCGUGAGUGAUGAAGGCUUUCGGGUCGUAAAACUCUGUUGUUAGGGAAGAACAAGUACGAGAGUAACUGCUCGUACCUUGACGGUACCUAACCAGAAAGCCACGGCUAACUACGUGCCAGCAGCCGCGGUAAUACGUAGGUGGCAAGCGUUAUCCGGAAUUAUUGGGCGUAAAGCGCGCGCAGGCGGUUUCUUAAGUCUGAUGUGAAAGCCCAU
rnacentral:rRNA from 1 species